GACGGGGGGGGCAAGUGUUCUUCGGAAUGACUGGGCGUAAAGAGCUCGUAGGUGGUUUGUCGCGUUGUUCGUGAAAUCUCACGGCUUAACUGUGAGCGUGCGGGCGAUACGGGCAGACUAGAGUACUGCAGGGGAGACUGGAAUUCCUGGUGUAGCGGUGGAAUGCGCAGAUAUCAGGAGGAACACCGGUGGCGAAGGCGGUCUCCUGGGGCAUUCUUGACGCUGAGGCGCGAAAGCUGGGGGAGCAAACGGG
rnacentral:rRNA from 1 species